CAGGGAAUCUUGCGCAAUGGGCGAAAGCCUGACGCAGCGACGCCGCGUGGGGGAUGAAGGCCUUCGGGUUGUAAACCCCUUUCAGGAGGGACGAUAAUGACGGUACCUCCAGAAGAAGCCCCGGCCAACUACGUGCCAGCAGCCGCGGUAAUACGUAGGGGGCAAGCGUUGUCCGGAUUUAUUGGGCGUAAAGAGCUCGUAGGCGGCUCAGCAAGUCGGUCGUGAAAACCCGGGGCUCAACCCCGGGAGGCCGGUCGAUACUGCUGUGGCUAGGGUCCGGUAGAGGAGAGUGGAAUUCCCGGUGUAGCGGUGGAAUGCGCAGAUAUCGGGAGGAACACCAGUAGCGAAGGCGGCUCUCUGGGCCGGUACCGACGCUGAGGAGCGAAAGCUAGGGGAGCAAACAGG
rnacentral:rRNA from 1 species